AGAGCGAACGCUGGCGGCAGGCUUAACACAUGCAAGUCGAGCGGGCGUAGCAAUACGUCAGCGGCAGACGGGUGAGUAACGCGUGGGAACGUACCUUUUGGUUCGGAACAACCCAGGGAAACUUGGGCUAAUACCGGAUAAGCCCUUACGGGGAAAGAUUUAUCGCCGAAAGAUCGGCCCGCGUCUGAUUAGCUAGUUGGUGAGGUAAUGGCUCACCAAGGCGACGAUCAGUAGCUGGUCUGAGAGGAUGAUCAGCCACAUUGGGACUGAGACACGGCCCAAACUCCUACGGGAGGCAGCAGUGGGGAAUCUUGCGCAAUGGGCGAAAGCCUGACGCAGCAACGCCGCGUGGAGGACGAAGGCUUUCUGAGUUGUAAACUCCUUUCAGCAGGGACGAUAGUGACGGUACCUGCAGAAGAAGCACCGGCCAACUACGCGCCAGCAGCCGC
rnacentral:rRNA from 1 species